rnacentral:ncRNA from 2 species
CUCUUAUCAAGAGGGGUGGAGGGACUGGCCCAAUGAAGCCCGGCAACCAGCUGCUUAAAGGUGAUUUUAAGCAGACAGCGGUGCUAAAUCCUGCAGAAUUAUUCUGACAGAUGAGAG